GAUUAACGCGAAGAACCUUACCUGGUCUUGACAUCCACAGAACUUUCCAGAGAUGGAUUGGUGCCUUCGGGAACUGUGAGACAGGUGCUGCAUGGCUGUCGUCAGCUCGUGUUGUGAAAUGUUGGGUUAAGUCCCGCAACGAGCGCAACCCUUAUCCUUUGUUGCCAGCGGUCCGGCCGGGAACUCAAAGGAGACUGCCAGUGAUAAACUGGAGGAAGGUGGGGAUGACGUCAAGUCAUCAUGGCCCUUACGACCAGGGCUACACACGUGCUACAAUGGCGCAUACAAAGAGAAGCGACCUCGCGAGAGCAAGCGGACCUCAUAAAGUGCGUCGUAGUCCGGAUUGGAGUCUGCAACUCGACUCCAUGAAGUCGGAAUCGCUAGUAAUCGU
rnacentral:rRNA from 1 species